rnacentral:lncRNA from 1 species
CUUUACUGCUAUUUUUACUAUACAGUGAUACAUUGAAGCUGAUCAAAUCCCAAAAAUGCACAAGCUAGCCUUAUUAUAUGGUGGCAUAUGCUGAGCAUAGAAGCCAAUAAGCCAUAUUGUAACUUUAGAUACCUGAAUAAAGAACACAUGCAAAAUUGAAUUUGUGUGUGUGUGUGGUGAAGCAGUGGUUUUUAAAAGAAAAUUAGGUUGUGGAAGCAUAACUGAAGCAUCUAAUUAAGUAAUAUUGAAUAUUGUGAAAUAGAAUCUGCUCAUGGUAUGGUAAAAUAAUGAAUAGUUUAUUUACUAGACUGAGAUUGUUUUUGAUAGAAUAUAAUUUGCAAUAGAUCAAAAAAAAUAUUAAGAUGGAUGAACACAUUAUGAAAAGGUGUUUUAGUGAUGUGAGUGAGGUUAUAAAGCGAAUCCAGCACCCUAUUGAUUUUGGAUACUUAUAUCCCAACUUAUUGGGUUGGAUAUAUGAUUUCUCUCCUUUGCCAUCCAUGAGGAGCUCUAUUACAUUAUCUUCUCAACACGUGCAUUUUCUUGUCCUGUUUAGGAUUUCCAUCCAUGAUUUUGUCUUUCCUUGUUCUGGUCCUAUGUGACAAACCUGAGCUCAUUUUCUUAUUGGACUCUUAGUCUUAGCUGCAUAUUUCAAUCAGUUCACCACAUCGUUACGGUAAUAAAAGCCAUGGUACUGGUAACAUAGAUUAUUUUUCCUUUCUCGCUUGCAUGUCAUAAUAUGUGGUGGAUCAAAUAAAAUAUAG